rnacentral:rRNA from 1 species
AUUGAACGCUGGCGGAAUGCUUUACUCAUGCAAGUCGAACGGCAGCACGGGGGCAACCCUGGUGGCGAGUGGCGAACGGGUGAGUAAUACAUCGGAACGUGCCCAGUCGUGGGGGAUAACGUAGCGAAAGCUACGCUAAUACCGCAUACGAACUCUGGUUGAAAGCGGGGGGUCGCAAGACCUCGCGCGAUUGGAGCGGCCGAUGGCAGAUUAGGUAGUUGGUGGGGUAAAGGCUCACCAAGCCGACGAUCUGUAGCUGGUCUGAGAGGACGACCAGCCACACUGGGACUGAGACACGGCCCAGACUCCUACGGGAGGCAGCAGUGGGGAAUUUUGGACAAUGGGCGCAAGCCUGAUCCAGCCAUUCCGCGUGCAGGAUGAAGGCCCUCGGGUUGUAAACCGCUUUUGUACGGAACGAAAAGGCUUUCUCUAAUACAGAGAGCUCAUGACGGUACCGGAAGAAUAAGGACCGGCUAACUACGUGCCAGCAGCCGCGGUAAUAC